rnacentral:rRNA from 1 species
UACAGAGGGUGCGAGCGUUGUCCGGAAUCACUGGGCGUAAAGGGCGCGUAGGUGGCCCGACAGUCUGUGGUGAAAGCUCGACGCUCAACGUCGAGUCGGCCAUAGAUACUGUUGGGCUGGAGCACUGUAGAGGCUCAUGGAAUUCCGGGUGUAGCGGUGGAAUGCGUAGAGAUCCGGAAGAACACCGGUGGCGAAGGCGGUUAGCUGGGCAGUUGCUGACACUGAGGCGCGACACGUGGGAGCAA